rnacentral:pre_miRNA from 1 species
AGCUUUUUGAAUCCAUGCAGAAAUUUUAUCAGACACCAACCCAUUAGAGUUGAUCAGACUUCCAAGAUGAUUGAAGUU